rnacentral:tRNA from 1 species
GCGGGAUGGAGCAGUCUGGUAGCUCGUCGGGCUCAUAACCCGAAGGUCGUCGGUUCAAAUCC